rnacentral:rRNA from 1 species
AGCGUACACGGUGGAUGCCCUGGCAGUCAGAGGCGAUGAAGGACGUGCUAAUCUGCGAUAAGCGUCGGUAAGGUGAUAUGAACCGUUAUAACCGGCGAUUUCCGAAUGGGGAAACCCAGUGUGUUUCGACACACUAUCAUUAACUGAAUCCAUAGGUUAAUGAGGCGAACCGGGGGAACUGAAACAUCUAAGUACCCCGAGGAAAAGAAAUCAACCGAGAUUCCCCCAGUAGCGGCGAGCGAACGGGGAGCAGCCCAGAGCCUGAAUCAGUGUGUGUGUUAGUGGAAGCGUCUGGAAAGGCGCGCGAUACAGGGUGACAGCCCCGUACACAAAAAUGCACAUGCUGUGAGCUCGAUGAGUAGGGCGGGACACGUGGUAUCCUGUCUGAAUAUGGGGGGACCAUCCUCCAAGGCUAAAUACUCCUGACUGACCGAUAGUGAACCAGUACCGUGAGGGAAAGGCGAAAAGAACCCCGGCGAGGGGAGUGAAAAAGAACCUGAAACCGUGUACGUACAAGCAGUGGGAGCACGCUUAGGCGUGUGACUGCGUACCUUUUGUAUAAUGGGUCAGCGACUUAUAUUCUGUAGCAAGGUUAACCGAAUAGGGGAGCCGAAGGGAAACCGAGUCUUAACUGGGCGUUAAGUUGCAGGGUAUAGACCCGAAACCCGGUGAUCUAGCCAUGGGCAGGUUGAAGGUUGGGUAACACUAACUGGAGGACCGAACCGACUAAUGUUGAAAAAUUAGCGGAUGACUUGUGGCUGGGGGUGAAAGGCCAAUCAAACCGGGAGAUAGCUGGUUCUCCCCGAAAGCUAUUUAGGUAGCGCCUCGUGAAUUCAUCUCCGGGGGUAGAGCACUGUUUCGGCAAGGGGGUCAUCCCGACUUACCAACCCGAUGCAAACUGCGAAUACCGGAGAAUGUUAUCACGGGAGACACACGGCGGGUGCUAACGUCCGUCGUGAAGAGGGAAACAACCCAGACCGCCAGCUAAGGUCCCAAAGUCAUGGUUAAGUGGGAAACGAUGUGGGAAGGCCCAGACAGCCAGGAUGUUGGCUUAGAAGCAGCCAUCAUUUAAAGAAAGCGUAAUAGCUCACUGGUCGAGUCGGCCUGCGCGGAAGAUGUAACGGGGCUAAACCAUGCACCGAAGCUGCGGCAGCGACGCUUAUGCGUUGUUGGGUAGGGGAGCGUUCUGUAAGCCUGCGAAGGUGUGCUGUGAGGCAUGCUGGAGGUAUCAGAAGUGCGAAUGCUGACAUAAGUAACGAUAAAGCGGGUGAAAAGCCCGCUCGCCGGAAGACCAAGGGUUCCUGUCCAACGUUAAUCGGGGCAGGGUGAGUCGACCCCUAAGGCGAGGCCGAAAGGCGUAGUCGAUGGGAAACAGGUUAAUAUUCCUGUACUUGGUGUUACUGCGAAGGGGGGACGGAGAAGGCUAUGUUGGCCGGGCGACGGUUGUCCCGGUUUAAGCGUGUAGGCUGGUUUUCCAGGCAAAUCCGGAAAAUCAAGGCUGAGGCGUGAUGACGAGGCACUACGGUGCUGAAGCAACAAAUGCCCUGCUUCCAGGAAAAGCCUCUAAGCAUCAGGUAACAUCAAAUCGUACCCCAAACCGACACAGGUGGUCAGGUAGAGAAUACCAAGGCGCUUGAGAGAACUCGGGUGAAGGAACUAGGCAAAAUGGCACCGUAACUUCGGGAGAAGGUGCGCCGGCUAGGGUGAAGGAUUUACUCCGUAAGCUCUGGCUGGUCGAAGAUACCAGGCCGCUGCGACUGUUUAUUAAAAACACAGCACUCUGCAAACACGAAAGUGGACGUAUAGGGUGUGACGCCUGCCCGGUGCCGGAAGGUUAAUUGAUGGGGUUAGCGCAAGCGAAGCUCUUGAUCGAAGCCCCGGUAAACGGCGGCCGUAACUAUAACGGUCCUAAGGUAGCGAAAUUCCUUGUCGGGUAAGUUCCGACCUGCACGAAUGGCGUAAUGAUGGCCAGGCUGUCUCCACCCGAGACUCAGUGAAAUUGAACUCGCUGUGAAGAUGCAGUGUACCCGCGGCAAGACGGAAAGACCCCGUGAACCUUUACUAUAGCUUGACACUGAACAUUGAGCCUUGAUGUGUAGGAUAGGUGGGAGGCUUUGAAGUGUGGACGCCAGUCUGCAUGGAGCCGACCUUGAAAUACCACCCUUUAAUGUUUGAUGUUCUAACGUUGACCCGUAAUCCGGGUUGCGGACAGUGUCUGGUGGGUAGUUUGACUGGGGCGGUCUCCUCCUAAAGAGUAACGGAGGAGCACGAAGGUUGGCUAAUCCUGGUCGGACAUCAGGAGGUUAGUGCAAUGGCAUAAGCCAGCUUGACUGCGAGCGUGACGGCGCGAGCAGGUGCGAAAGCAGGUCAUAGUGAUCCGGUGGUUCUGAAUGGAAGGGCCAUCGCUCAACGGAUAAAAGGUACUCCGGGGAUAACAGGCUGAUACCGCCCAAGAGUUCAUAUCGACGGCGGUGUUUGGCACCUCGAUGUCGGCUCAUCACAUCCUGGGGCUGAAGCCGGUCCCAAGGGUAUGGCUGUUCGCCAUUUAAAGUGGUACGCGAGCUGGGUUUAGAACGUCGUGAGACAGUUCGGUCCCUAUCUGCCGUGGGCGCUGGAGAACUGAGGGGGGCUGCUCCUAGUACGAGAGGACCGGAGUGGACGCAUCACUGGUGUUCGGGUUGUCAUGCCAAUGGCACUGCCCGGUAGCUAAAUGCGGAAGAGAUAAGUGCUGAAAGCAUCUAAGCACGAAACUUGCCCCGAGAUGAGUUCUCCCUGACUCCUUGA